rnacentral:rRNA from 1 species
GUGGGGAAUCUUCCGCAAUGGACGAAAGUCUGACGGAGCAACGCCGCGUGAGUGAUGAAGGUCUUCGGAUUGUAAAGCUCUGUUAAUCGGGACGAAAGAGCCUAGUGUGAAUAAUGCUAGGAAGUGACGGUACCGGAAUAGAAAGCCACGGCUAACUACGUGCCAGCAGCCGCGGUAAUACGUAGGUGGCAAGCGUUGUCCGGAAUUAUUGGGCGUAAAGCGCGCGCAGGCGGAUCUGCCAGUCUGUCUUAAAAGUUCGGGGCUUAACCCCGUGAUGGGAUGGAAACUACAGAUCUAGAGUAUCGGAGAGGAAAGUGGAAUUCCUAGUGUAGCGGUGAAAUGCGUAGAUAUUAGGAAGAACACCAGUGGCGAAGGCGACUUUCUGGACGAAAACUGACGCUGAGGCGCGAAAGCCAGGGGAGCGAACGGGAUUAGAAACCCUUGUAGUCC